CACAAACGCUGGCGGCGCGUUUUAAGCAUGCAAGUCGGACGGCAAGAGCUGUAGCAAUAUGGCUCCUAGAGUGGCGAACGGGUGAGUAACACGUAGGUGAUCUGCCCGUGGAUGGGGGAUAGUCCGUGGAAACACGGGGUAAUACCGCAUGAGGCCUUGUGGGAAGAGCGAUGAGGUGAAGGGUGCAAUUGCACCGUCUGGGGAUGAGCCUGCGGUCCAUUAGGUAGUUGGCGGGGUAAGGGCCCACCAAGCCUACGAUGGAUAGCCGGCCUGAGAGGGUGUACGGCCACACUGGAACUGAGACAUGGUCCAGACUCCUACGGGAGGCAGCAGCUAAGAAUCUUCCGCAAUGGGGGAAACCCUGACGGAGCGACGCCGCGUGGACGAUGGAGGCCGUAAGGUUGUAAAGUCCUUUUCCUGGUGAAGAAUGACUGUGGGAGUGGAAAGCCCAUGGGAUGACGUUAGCCAGGGAAUAAGCCCCGGCCAAUUACGUGCCAGCAGCCGCAGUAAGAC
rnacentral:rRNA from 1 species